AGAAUCAACGCUGGCGGCGUGCCUAACACAUGCAAGUCGAACGAGAAAGUGGAGCAAUCCAUGGGUAAAGUGGCGCACGGGUGAGUAACACGUGACUAACCUACCCUUGAGUGGGGGAUAACCUAGAGAAAUCUGGGCUAAUACCGCAUAAUACCUUCGGGUCAAAGGAGCAAUUCGCUUAAGGAGGGGGUCGCGGCCGAUUAGUUAGUUGGCGGGGUAAUGGCCCACCAAGACUAUGAUCGGUA
rnacentral:rRNA from 1 species